rnacentral:rRNA from 1 species
UGGGGGAUAUUGCACAAUGGGCGAAAGCCUGAUGCAGCGACGCCGCGUGGGGGAUGAAGGCUUUCGGGUUGUAAACCUCUUUCGCUAUCGAACAAGGCCCGCUUAGGGUGGGUUGAGGGUAGGUGGAGAAGAAGCGCCGGCUAACUACGUGCCAGCAGCCGCGGUAAGACGUAGGGCGCGAGCGUUGUCCGGAAUUAUUGGGCGUAAAGGGCUUGUAGGCGGCUUGUUGCGCCUGCUGUGAAAACGCGGGGCUUAACUUCGCGCGUGCAGUGGGUACGGGCAGGCUUGAGUGUGGUAGGGGUGACUGGAAUUCCAGGUGUAGCGGUGGAAUGCGCAGAUAUCUGGAGGAACACCGAUGGCGAAGGCAGGUCACUGGGCCGUUACUGACGCUGAGGAGCGAAAGCAUGGGUAGCGAACAGG